rnacentral:tRNA from 1 species
GGAGAAGUACCCAAGUAGGUUGAAGGGGACGGUUUGCUAAACCGUUAGGUCGGGAUUAACCGGCGCCGGGGUUCGAAUCCCCGCUUCUCCGCCA